rnacentral:rRNA from 1 species
AACGAACGCUGGCGGUAGGCCUCAAACAUGCAAGUCUAGGGGGUGUAGCAAUACAUCACCGGCGGACGGGUGCGUAACGCGUGGGAAUAUACCUAUUGAUUCGGAACAACUGAGGGAAACUUCAGCUAAUACCGAAUACGUCCUAACGGAGAAAGAUUUAUCGUCGAUAGAUUAGCCCGCGUUCGAUUAGCUAGUUGGUGGGGUAACGGCCCACCAAGGCGACGAUCGAUAGCUGUUCUGAGAGGAAGAUCAGCCACACUGGGACUGAGACACGGCCCAGACUCCUACGGGAGGCAGCAGUUGGAAUCGUUGGACAAGUGGGGAAACCCUGAUCCAGCCAUGCCGCGUGAGUGAUGAA